CCUUGGCAGCGAAUGCCCAUUGAAAGAAAAACAUUUAUUUCUUCAUGACAUGCAACAGCAGACAUACCAGACCCACAUCCCAGCGAGAUGCAAGAGGUCUCAAGGAGAAAAAGAAAGGCUUCUGCCAUGGCUAGUUGAAAACAUAAGGGCUUAGCAGGAGAAACAGCCUUUGAUUCUGAGUCACAGCUCAUAUCCUGCCCUGCUCCAGCACUUCCUCAUUCACAGCAGAAGCUCCUCGCAGCAGCACGUUUGGAUCUCAAAACGUGCCGAGGGAACUCAGGGAGAUUCCACAGAGGAAAAAGCAACUGCCUCCUUUGGAAACUGAGCAUCCCUGAACAGCCACCAAAGGUGACAGUCCAGGUGCUGGAACAUGCCCAUGACUGAGCUUUGGUUCAACAACAGAGACACAAGCAGCAGCUGAAGAGUCUGGUGAAGCUCCUGACAGGGACAGAUUCCC
rnacentral:lncRNA from 1 species